GGCUGAGUGCUGUUGAAACCGGACUGUACUCCUUUUGGCUCCUGGUUCUUUCUAUCUCUAUACAGUAAAAGUUUGUUCCAGAAGGGAUGUAUGUAAUUCAUCCCAGUAUUUCAUGUUGUUUUUUUUUUUUAUCACUUUUUUUCCCUUGAGCCAACAGCCUGAACUGGCCAGACUUUGGGCUGGCACCAGCUGCUUUAUCUGGUAGCCCUGUCACAUAAUAAUGAACAUUUACUGGUGAUCACUAGGUGCCAACAUUGUGUGAAGAACCUCACAUGGACAUCUUGUUUAAUUCUCAGAAGUCGACUACAAGAAGGAGAGGCGUCCUUUUUGAAAGAAAAUGAGCCGAGAUGCUGGAUACCGUUCAAGCUUUAUUAAAGAAAGAAAUCUGCCGGCUGUACUCAAAAUGGAGGACAGCAGCUAACCUGGGGCGGUGGGAGCUUAUAUUGAUCUAUUACUUUUGACUUAACAAGGCUAAAGUCUCCAGUUUUGGUCUCCAACAUUUUUGAUCUUUCUCUCCACUGAUGUCUUCAAACAAGCUCAGGUAGUUCUCUUUCAGGAAAAACAAAACAAACAAAAACAAAACCUUUUGCGAUUCAGUAGUU